GAGUUUGAUCUUGGCUCAGAGCGAACGUUGGCGGCGCGCUUAACACAUGCAAGUCGCACGAGAAAAGGGGCAACCCUGAGUAGAGUGGCGCACGGGUGCGUAACACGUAGGCAAUCUUCCCUCAGGAGGGGGAUAACCAUCCGAAAGGAUGGCUAAUACCGCGUAAGACCACGGCUGCUUCGGCAGCUGCGGUCAAAGGGGGCCUCUCCAUGGAAGCUCUCACCUGAGGACGAGCCUGCGGCCCAUCAGCUAGUUGGCAGGGUAACGGCCUACCAAGGCUAAGACGGGUAGCUGGUCUGAGAGGAUGAUCAGCCACACUGGCACUGAAACACGGGCCAGACUCCUACGGGAGGCAGCAGUGGGGAAUAUUGGACAAUGGGCGAAAGCCUGAUCCAGCGACGCCGCGUGGGUGAUGAAGGCCU
rnacentral:rRNA from 1 species